rnacentral:rRNA from 1 species
GUAGGGUGCGAGCGUUAUCCGGGAAUCAUUGGGCGUAAAGAGCUCGUAGGCGGUUCAGCAAGUCGGCUGUGAAAUUCCGAGGGCUCAACCUCGGAACUGCAGUCGAUACUGUUGUGACUCGAGUCCGGUAGAGGAGAAUGGAAUUCCCGGUGUAGCGGUGAAAUGCGCAGAUAUCGGGAGGAACACCAGUAGCGAAGGCGGUUCUCUGGGCCGGCACUGACGCUGAGGAGCGAAAGCGUGGGUAGCAAACAGGAUUAGAUACCCUGGUAGUCCACGCCGUAAACGUUGGAUACUAGGUGUGGGGUUCCGACCAACGGUCCCCGUGCCGAAGCUAACGCAUUAAGUAUCCCGCCUGGGGAGUACGGCCGCAAAGGCUAA